UACGUAGGGGGCAAGCGUUGUCCGGAUUCAUUGGGCGUAAAGAGCGUGUAGGCGGCCAGAUAGGUCAGCUGUGAAAACUCGGGGCUCAACCCUGAGACGUCGGUUGAAACCAUCUGGCUAGAGUCCGGAAGAGGAGUGUGGAAUUCCCGGUGUAGCGGUGAAAUGCGCAGAUAUCAGGAAGAACACCCGUGGCGAAAGCGGCUCUCUGGAACGGUACUGACGCUGAGACGCGAAAGCGUGGGGAGCGAACAGG
rnacentral:rRNA from 1 species